AAUAUCAAUCAUAAUAAUGGUUUGCUGGAAACAGCAAUUAAAAAGGAAUCGUGUGAAAAUCACGAGCUGACGCGCAACUGUAAAUUGGCGUAAGAGUUCUUAUCUGUUAUUUAUCAAACACCACUGUUCGACUGUGAACGGGAAGGUGGGAUAAGAAUGCCAAAAGCCAGGAGACUUGCCUUAUUAUCAAGAUAACA
rnacentral:ncRNA from 2 species